rnacentral:lncRNA from 1 species
AGAAUGUCAACAUCAGAAUUAUGUUUAUAAAACAUGGCUUUGAAUACUGUGAGAGGAAUGAAUUAUAGGAUGGAAAGAGAACAAAGCCAGAGAGACUAAUUAAGAGAUUAUAUUAGUCAGAAAUGCUUUUAGCAUCGAGUAAGAGAAAAUUCAAAAUAGCUUAAAACUUGUAAUGACAUUUAUUGUUUACCCACAGUAAAUCAGAAAACAAGGCAUUUGGGAGGCUCAGCGAUAUCAUUAGAAACCCAGGCUUGUUCCAUCUUCCUGCUCCGACAUCCUCCACACGUCGGCUAUUUAUUCUCUUGCUUAUUCCCUCAUGGUUACAAGAUGGCUGCUUCAGCUCCAGACACAAUAAUCUUAUUAAGGGCAGCAGAUAGGAAAGGGGACAAGGUUUAUUUUUUUAAAGAAAAUCAAAACUUUCCCAGAACCCCAUCAAAGACCUCUCUUUCCAGUUUCAUUGUGUCCAAACUGGGUCAUAGUGUCUUUCUAACUGAAAACAAGGCUGGAACAUUGAAUGUCUGGCAAAGCAGAACAGGAUUGUUCAUUGUUAUCCAGCCCAUAGGUUAGAUGUGUGGUUGCACGGAGCAAAAUGAGGGUUUGAUAGGCAGGUAAAGAGGGCAACGCCUGUUGGGUAGGAAAUAAACAGCGACGGUCACAAAAGUAAGAGAUGAUGGCCCAGACUGAGAGGGUAGCAAUGGAGUUAAAGAUAUGUAAGAGGUGGAGGUUACAGAACUUG